rnacentral:rRNA from 1 species
CGCAUCUGUGCAUGCAGCAUAUCAAUAAGCGGAGGAAAAGAAACUAACAAGGAUUCCCCUAGUAACGGCGAGUGAAGCGGGAAGAGCUCAAAUUUGAAAUCUUAAAGGGUUUCCCUUUACGAAUUGUAGUUUAAAGAAGUGUUUUCUGUUGAGGUUUUGGUAAAAGUUCUUUGGAAUAGGACAUCAUAGAGGGUGAGAAUCCCGUAUUUGACCUUUACUAUCAACUUUGUGAUACACUUUCAAAGAGUCGGAUUGUUUGGGAAUGCAGUCCAAAAUGGGUGGUAAAUUUCAUCUAAAGCUAAAUAUUGGCGAGAGACCGAUAGCGAACAAGUACCGUGAGGGAAAGAUGAAAAGAACUUUGAAGAGAGAGUUAAACAGUACGUGAAAUUGUCAAAAGGGAAGCGUUUGACACCAGUGUUGUUUUUCUGAAAAUCAAUUAAAGAACUGUUUAUGCUAAGUUGUUUAGACUUUAUCAGCUAACUGUUUAGUUUUGAGCUUUUCUUUAAUGCACUUUUCAGUUAACAAGUCAACAUCAAUUUCUUUCGCUGUAAAAAAGCUUGAGGAAGGUGGCUUGAGAUUCGUCUUAAGUGUUUAUAGCCUCUUGCCUAUGCAGUCGGAGAGAUUGAGGUCUGCAGCGUAGAUCCUUCGGGGCUAAAUGCAUUUGUGCUAAGUUAUAGCAUUUUAUAGACAACUUGUUGACUAUGAUUUGUCUUGUAGCUUACUCGCUUAUGUUAUUUUACCUACGCUUAGGAUGUUGAACGCGCACAGAGUCUC